rnacentral:tmRNA from 1 species
CGCUCCGGUGGACGCCUUUAAAGCCGGCUAAGAUUAAAGGCUAAGGGUUUGGUGGCCCGUCUUUCGGCAGCCCUUCCCCUACAAUCAAAGGAAGAAUAAGCUUGUAGAAAGCCGCUGGGUGCGGUGUUUGGACGGCGGUUCGAGUCCGCCCAUCUCCACAA